rnacentral:rRNA from 1 species
GCGUUGUCCGGAAUUACUGGGCGUAAAGAGCUCGUAGGUGGUUUGUCGCGUUGUUCGUGAAAACUCACAGCUUAACUGUGGGCGUGCGGGCGAUACGGGCUGACUGGAGUACUGCAGGGGAGACUGGAAUUCCUGGUGUAGCGGUGGAAUGCGCAGAUAUCAGGAGGAACACCGGUGGCGAAGGCGGGUCUCUGGGCAGUAACUGACGCUGAGGAGCGAAAGCGUGGGGAGCAAACAGG